rfam:Picea glauca, whole genome shotgun sequence.
AGCCAUGUGUUCAAUACAGAGCAAACUAUUCUUUCACCUUUUACUAAAGAAUACCGUGUCUUGGCCACCAACAACGGCAUAUGCCUAUUUUUGGAGGCUUCCUAUUUCACUGCGAGAU